AUCUACUUUUUAACUUUAAUAAAAUUCAAAUAUUUUUUUCUACGCUUGGCAGGUUACACACAACACUUGAAAAAAACCCCAACUAAUUCAAUUGAGAAUACAAGCUAGGGCCUAGAAAAUAAUGUCAAAAUUUAAUCGUUUGACAUUCAGCGACAAAGGGCGUGUCUUAUCACGUUCGCAAACAAUUAGUGAAAUAUGAAAAUCCAGUCAGAUAUAUAAUGAGCGGAAAGAACAGGGAUUGUGAUGUUCUUUCAUUUCCUGAUGAAUAGUCGCGAUGCAACAUGAGAAGUCAUUGAAUUAUGGCUAUGCUGGGACACCAUCUACCAUCUUGAUGGUUGAAUUGAACAAAUCGACCACAGUACUUGUUUUUAAGUGUGUACUUAUUCUAUAAGUCUCUUUUGCUGAACUUUUGAGUUAUGGGGGACAUAAAUAAACACACUAACACC